GUUUGAAGAGGCUUUAGAAUUGUCAAAUUUUCGCGCCUUUUAUUUGGACUCCAUCGUACAACAGAUAAAGAAUCCUAGUUCAGUCAACUUGGAAUGGAAAGAGGGACUUGUAUUAAAUGUUUCCUUCGUCGUAUCGGCUUCGUACCCAGGAAACUUGGAUGACAUAUACGACGAAUUAAGGCAAGCCCUGGUCACAUCCAACGGCAAAGCUCGGUCAAACGGGAUUCGUAAUAGAUUCCCAUUCUCUCCACCCACUCACACCGUCAGGUUCGGCUAUUUUCAAAAAUAAACGAGGUGCAGCUCCAAAGUACGACGUGUGCAAGGAAUUCAAUAAUCUAGGUUGCGGAUCUAAUUCUGUUUGCUCGAAGGUAGAUGGAUUUGCUAGGUGUAUGUGCUUACCCGGAUUUUACGUUAAAACAGGAACUGACAGAUGUGUCGGUCCUCAAAAGUUUUCAACGCGACUUCGUGCUUAUUUAACCAAAGAUUAUUCUAGGGUCUUUUCCGAUACCGCGCUAAAGGAUCCCGACAAUAUUAAAUUUAAAAAUUUG